GUUCAGCAGCGCCCCCUACAGCGCCACUGUCGUCUGCUCACCAUUAACUUUGUCGUUUCACUUGUGUUACUAGCUUCAUCUGUGGCUCGUAGCAUCGUCAGUUUAAUUUCUAAACGGACGACAACGAUAACAAACAGCCUCUAUAUACAGGGGUCAAUAUGUUUACAGUGGAUGAAAUUAGUAAAUGCAAAAGGAAAAGACGCGGUAAGACUUUAU
rnacentral:lncRNA from 1 species